AUUGAACGCUGGCGGCAUGCCUUACACAUGCAAGUCGAACGGUAACGCGGGGCAACCUGGCGACGAGUGGCGAACGGGUGAGUAAUGCAUCGGAACGUGCCCAGUAGUGGGGGAUAGCCCGGCGAAAGCCGGAUUAAUACCGCAUACGACCUACGGGAGAAAGCGGGGGACCGUAAGGCCUCGCGCUAUUGGAGCGGCCGAUGUCAGAUUAGGUUGUUGGUGGGGUAAAAGCCUACCAAGCCGACGAUCUGUAGCUGGUCUGAGAGGACGACCAGCCACACUGGGACUGAGACACGGCCCAGACUCCUACGGGAGGCAGCAGUGGGGAAUUUUGGACAAUGGGGGCAACCCUGAUCCAGCCAUGCCGCGUGCGGGAAGAAGGCCUUCGGGUUGUAAACCGCUUUUGUCAGGGAAGAAACGCUCUGGGCUAAUACCCCGGGGUAAUGACGGUACCUGAAGAAUAAGCACCGGCUAACUACGUGCCAGCCGCCGCGGUAAAAC
rnacentral:rRNA from 1 species